ensembl:lncRNA RFPL1S RFPL1 antisense RNA 1
GGGAGGAGGGAAGAGGGGGAGGGAGUUUCUGGUUUUGCAUGAAGCAGCAGAACAUGAUGAAGCAUUUUUCCCCCAUCUAAAGAUCCAGUCGUGCUCCAGUUUGCAGAGGGCAAGGGGCUGGUUGCAGGUGGUGCUGGGAGGAUGGAGAGAUGGGGUUUCACCGUGUUAACCAGGAAUGUCUCGAUCUCCUGACCUCGUGAUCCACCCGCCUCAGCCUCCCAAAGUGUUGGGAUUACAGGCGUGAGCUACCACGCCCGGCCCUAGGCUCCACAACUCUAAGAAGCUUUGCCUCACAACAUUGUCAUCAAACCCACUUUCGGCGGUGCAGUGGCUCACACCUCUAAUCCCAGCACUUUGGGCGGCCAAGCGAGAGGAUCGCUUGAGCCCAAGAGCUCGAGACCAGCCCAGGCAACACAGAAAAACCUCAUUUCUACAAAAAAUAAAAUAAAAUAAAAAUAGCUGGGUGUGGUGGCGCGCCUGUGGUCCCAGCUCCUCGGGAGGCUGAGGUGGGAGGAUCGCUUAAACCUGGAGAGGCGGAGGUUGCAGUGAGCCGAGAUCACGCCACGGCACUCCAGCCUCGGCAACAGAGCGAGACCCUGUCACAAACGAACACUCUCCAGAGGGGGAAACCGAGGCCCUGGGACUGCAGAACCGGUUUCUCUGCCUCGGCAUACUGCCUCGGCUGGCUCUGCGCUUGAUAGAAUCGCGCCAGCAACAGCGCCCCCUGCAGGCGACGGCGGGCACGCCUGCGUCACAGCCAUCCCCGCCCUUCCGCAGUGGGAACGCCCGAAUGCUUCAUCCGGCCUCGGAAGAUUGAAGAGCGCUCCUCCAAACUGGCUCAGGGAAGCCGGGCGCGCCGCCUUCAGCCCCGCCUUGGCCGCCGCGGCGUCGCAUCAGUGGCAUCCCCAGGGGCUGCAGGAAGGUAGCCGUAGCCUUGGCUGUCGUGGCUUCCCUCAUCGUAACGGCCUGGGGGCAGCGGUGCUCAAAGAACUCAGGGGGUGGGGCUCAGGUAGGGGCAUGGCCGGUGCUCUUCCUAGGGGCGGGAUCCUGG